GCCACGGUGGUCUAGUGGUUAGAACGCUGGCCUUGUAAUCCUGGGGUCUCGGGUUCGAUUCCCGGCGGUGCUC
rnacentral:tRNA from 1 species